UCAACAACACUAUUCUGUUGAGGUGAAUGAGGGCAGGUGGUUUGAUGAAUAAUCCCCUGGCUACUAAAGAAAGAUAUACCCUCAAUGCUAGAUCCCAAUUCUAAGGCAUUGUCACUUCUAACAGUUUGAACCAUAGUGUUAAACUGAGUUUUGACAAAACAGAUGAAAGACUUAAGCAGGGAAAAGGCAUUGCUUUUAGAGCCCAUUAAGUGU
rnacentral:lncRNA from 1 species